rnacentral:rRNA from 1 species
GCGCGGCCUACCAUGCAGUCGAGCGGUAGAGAGAAGCUUGCUUCUCUUGAGAGCGGCGGACGGGUGAGUAAUGCCUAGGAAUCUGCCUAGUGGUGGGGGAUAACGUUCGGAAACGGACGCUAAUACCGCAUACGUCCUACGGGAGAAAGCGGGGGAUCUUCGGACCUCGCGCCAUUAGAUGAGCCUAGGUCGGAUUAGCUAGUUGGUGAGGUAAUGGCUCACCAAGGCGACGAUCCGUAACUGGACUGAGAGGAUGAUCAGUCACACUGGAACUGAGACACGGUCCAGACUCCUACGGGAGGCAGCAGUGGGGAAUAUUGGACAAUGGGCGAAAGCCUGAUCCAGCCAUGCCGCGUGUGUGAAGAAGGUCUUCGGAUUGUAAAGCACUUUAAGUUGGGAGGAAGGGUAGUAACCUAAUACGUUGCCACUUUGACGUUACCGACAGAAUAAGCACCGGCUAACUUCGUGCCAGCAGCCGCGGUAAUACGAAGGGUGCAAGCGUUAAUCGGAAUUACUGGGCGUAAAGCGCGCGUAGGUGGUUCAGUAAGUUGGAAGUGAAAUCCCCGGGCUCAACCUGGGAACUGCUUUCAAAACUGCUGAGCUAGAGUACGGUAGAGGGUGGUGGAAUUUCCUGUGUAGCGGUGAAAUGCGUAGAUAUAGGAAGGAACACCAGUGGCGAAGGCGACCACCUGGACUGAUACUGACACUGAGGUGCGAAAGCGUGGGGAGCAAACAGGAUUAGAUACCCUGGUAGUCCACGCCGUAAACGAUGUCAACUAGCCGUUGGAAUCCUUGAGAUUUUAGUGACGCAGCUAACGCGUGAAGUCGACCGCCUGGGGAGUACGGCCGCAAGGUUAAAACUCAAAGGAAUUGACGGGGACCCGCACAAGCGGUGGAUGAUGUGGAUUAAUUCGAUGCAACGCGAAAAACCUUACCUACCCUUGACAUGUCUGGAACCUUGCUGAAAGGGAAGGGUGCCUUCGGGAGCCAAAACACAGGUGCUGCAUGGCUGUCGUCAGCUCGUGUCUGAAAUGUUGGUUAAGUCCCCAACAGAGGCAACCCNUNNNCUAGUGCCACCAUUUGNUGGNCACUCUANUGAGAACUGCGNNACAACCGNNGANNGGNGGGANNGACUCAGUUCCNNCNUAGGAGGCUCCCACCNUNACAAUGUUCGGUNNAAGNNNNCCACCCC